rnacentral:rRNA from 1 species
UGCAUUUGCAACCUGAGCUCAGACGUGAUUACCCGCUGAACUUAAGCAUAUCAUUUAGCGGAGGAAAAGAAACUAACUAGGAUUCCCUUAGUAACGC